rnacentral:rRNA from 1 species
UACGUAGGGUGCAAGCGUUGUCCGGAAUUAUUGGGCGUAAAGAGCUCGUAGGCGGUUUGUCGCGUCGGCUGUGAAAACUCGGGGCUCAACCCCGAGCCUGCAGUCGAUACGGGCAAACUAGAGUGUGGUAGGGGAGACUGGAAUUCCUGGUGUAGCAGUGAAAUGCGCAGAUAUCAGGAGGAACACCGGCGGCGAAGGCGGGUCUCUGGGCCAUAACUGACGCUGAGGAGCGAAAGCGUGGGGAGCGAACAGG